rnacentral:lncRNA from 1 species
AAAAUAAAAAAUUAAUCGUUUUAUUAUACUUCCAAAAUACUUUACAUUGUCACAAAAACCUAAAAACAUAUUUAAAUAGUCUAAGCAUAUAUAAUGUAUUAUUAACAUAUAUUCCAUUAAUAUUAAAGAUUCUAACCUUAGAGGCCUUUUACUCGUAGAAAUUGUAAAUACAAUCCAUCAAAUAUUCUUAAUUCUCAUGACAGCAAUUGAAUUUAUGCACUAGUCAUAAAAACCUUAGAGGCCUUUUACUCGUAGAAAUUGAAUUUAUCAAAUAUAUAAACACUAAAAUGACUAAAAUUAUCACAAUAUCAGCAACCUCCACCUCCACCGCCACAUCCACCACCACCACCACCUCCACCACCACAUCCACCACCACCUCCACCACCACACCCUCCUCCUCCAUGAUGAUGAUGAUGACCAUGAUGACCACCUCCUCCAUGUGAAGUCGUGGUUGCUGAAGCACUAGUCAUAAAAACCAUGUUACCAUCAUUCUUCAUGUUUUCUUUAUAAUCUCUUCUCUUUCCACGCGCGGAGGAGAAAAAACAUCCCAUAUCUAUAUAUUUUGUUGGCUUUAAUUUAAGUCUUAAUUGUUUCCUAUACAGCUUUACCCUUUACAUAUAUAUACUAGUAUAAAAUACACUUAUAAUUUAUAGUCAACGGACCUUGUUUACACGAAACGUGCUGUGAAAUUCUACACAAUUUAAUAUGAGAGUAUGACAGCUGACGAAAUUCUAUCAGGAAUUUCCUUAGCAUAAUCUUCUCGAUACAAUUCGUCUUAUGUAAUUUUACUCCUUCCGUCCG